CGACUCUGAAAUUUUAUUUGUCCAAUCAGCAUCCAUACCCAUCAGCCACCCUGUGUCCUCCCCAUCACUUACACCUGCAACCUCCACAAUUAUAGUCUCCAAUCUGCACUCUUCUAUCUAUUAGAAACAUACUUCACUCAUUUUGAAAAUUUUCAUCGGCUCCCCAAAAUCAUUUCGACAGAAUCCAGCGUACAAGUAAGAUUUCCAAAUCAGUUCCUUUACAUUCUUCUCGUAUGAAUAAGAGCCUUCAUUUCAAUAGUAUUCAUAUCUAUGAACUUUCCUUUCCAGCAAACAAACAGGAUCAAACACUCACUGAAAUUUCUCACAAGAUAACCACUUGACUUCGUUUUACCUCUGGUCAUAGAUCGAGCUUCAAGCUUCAAGCUUGUUCAAAACCAUAUACAAAUUUGACAUAUACACAGCAACACAUUUCAAGUGUUUCAAUAGAAUGACAUUCAUAUAUACACAUAUGCAUACACUGCUUAUAUAUAUAUUACAAGCAUAACUUUUAAAAGAAAAGAAAAAGAAAGGUAGAAGAAGAGAUUUGAUGUAUGUUGAAAAAAAUGGAGUCUUGAGCCUUGUUGCGCUUGUUGAGUCGGGUUGCUGCCCCUGUUUUGGUACAAGGGUCGAGACCUUGCAGUGUUGUGUUUCUGCUGGGUUGAGUUAGUGGAGGGAAGGAGAGAGUCGACGGCGGCAGCCAUGGCUGCUGUCGCCGGAAGUUUUUUUUGAGGGAGUUCAGGCGGCGGUGGUGGAAAUCUGCCACUGACCGAGGAGAUUGAGAGACGGAGGGAGGCGGCAGCGGUGGUCUUCGCCGUUGUCAAGGAGGGACGACGGUGGUCGACGGCGGCUUCUCGUCGGAAGGGGAAAUCGCCGGGCAGAAAUGAGGGAGAGAGAUUUGCGGAUGUUGAGUGAGAGGGAGCGAACGAGUCCAGUGGGACAGAGGGAGAGAGAGGGGGGGGGGGUCGCAGUCGACGGCGGCUUGUCGCCGCUGCUCCUCCGGCGAACGUUCGCGGCGGCGCCGCUGCGUGUCUGGUGUGAGUGUGAGGGGAGUGGCUGAACCAAGAGAGGAGGGGGGGGAAGGGGAAACUGAAGUGUGUGUGUGUGCGCGCGUGUCUGAUAAGGAGGGGAGGGUAAUUGGGUGUUGGGCUAUGGUUGGGGCUGAGUUGUGGGCCGGUUUAUUUCUUUUAAUUGGGCCAUUCUUCUUUUAUUAUUCCUUUCAGAUGGGCCAAUGUUUUUAUUUAAUUCCUUGGGCCCUAAAUUUAUUCAUUUGGGUUGUACAGCUUCUUUCAUUUAAAUGGACUGCACAUAAUUUAAUUAAUUAGACUUCUUCGAGUUUGAUUAAUUAUUUUAAAGAAUAAAUUUCAUAAUAAUAUUAAAUUAUUAUUAUGUGCAUAUUUUAAGUAAUUACUUAUGCUAAGCAUGACAUGAUAUUGCACUUUAAUUUGCAAUAAAAGUAUUUAUGAUUUAAUUGGUUUUAUCCAUAAAUCCAAUUAUUAAAGGAAUUUGAGUAAGGAUAUUGUUGUUGUCCUUAACUCAAGAAUUUUAGUUUUCAUUAUUUAUUUAUUAAAUUUUGAAAACCCGGCUAAGCGAAUCAUAAAAUGUUAAGCACUUUACCUUGACUUAAGAUUAGAUUAAGGAAACCUAUUAAGAGUAUAGAUUUCUUGUAGGCUUCGUGGAUCGUGAGGACUAGCACCGCUAUUCCGAUUCAGAGAUAAGAUUAAACGACAUGCAUUACCUAAUCAGGUGGGCUUAUUUUCCAAAUGUAUGAUUGAGCUAAUGAGCUUAAAUGUUUCAUGAAAUACAAACUGUUUAUCCAAUAAAUAUUUUUGUGCACUCUACCAUGUUUAAGGCUCGUACAGUUAAUCAAUUGAGGUUCUCUUAUGACCUAACACGUUGUUUGAGAAUUGUGUACACUUGUUAGCUGACUCGGUGGGUUGAUCUCCAUUAGGCACUAACCAGAGGCGUUAUAAAGGUGCUCGACGGGAUGUGUUCCGGAGCAUAGUUUAUGAUAGGCCUGUCUGGAUUAAUUUUCGAGGUUUAUUUUACUUGGCUGGGUUACGCCCUCAGUUCAAGUCAGCGGGAGACAGAGAUCCGUCGGUGGCUAAAUGGUCCGGGAUCACAGCGAGUAACAGAAUGGAGUGUGCAAACGCGCGCAAAAUAAUUAUGUAUAUUAUGAAAUGUUUUAACAUGCUUAGAAGUUAUUUCACUUUAAAACCUUUUAAGUCAUGUCAGUAUGAUCGGAUAAACUCUUUUACAGAUUGUGAAAUGUUUUAAAGUUGCACCCAUUAAGUACAUUAGUACUUAGCCCAAAUAUUUCAAAUGUUUUUUAGGUUAACGGCUGGUGAUGACGGGGCAGAGUUGAGGCUAGAGUUCAACUCCUUAUUUCGACUUCCGCUGUAAAACUAGCCAGUAUCUGUCUUUUGUUCCCUUGACUUAAGACUUUUAUGAGAUGUCUCUAAACAAUAUCUUUUGAUGAGCCUAGACUCUUGAAUUUCAAGUAUGUUGGUUAAUGUAUGUUGGUUAUCCGAAGCGUGAAACUAAACUUGUGAUCCUAAAGUUAGUUGUUUGUUGAUUGAUUGUAUCCCUUGGAUGUCUCUCUUUCUUCCUCCAAAGGGGCGAUGCCCGAUUGUUAUCCCUUUUAUUCGGAUUUCACAAGGUUUUUCCCUUGUUUAUUUCAAUGAUUAGUCGCUCCCCAGUUAUAGUUAUUGUUUGAAGAAUUGGGGCGUGACAAUAUACAUAUAACCGACUAUUAAUAUGUGAAUGAAUUAGUCAAUAUUGACAUAUUUAUGAUAUCAACUAAUUAUCAUAUUUAAUGCUUUAAUUAAUUGUUAAUUACCAAAUUUAAGAUAGGACUAAAUAGUGACUGGUAUAGAAAUUACACUCUAGUUUUGGGCGGG
rnacentral:lncRNA from 1 species